GACGAACGCUGGCGGCGUGCUUAACACAUGCCAGUCGAACGGUGAAGCGCCUUCCUUUUUGGUGGGUGUGGAUGAGUGGCGAACGGGUGAGUAACACGUGAGUAACCUGCCCCCUUCUUCUGGAUAACCGCAUGAAAGUGUGGCUAAUACGGGAUAUCCUGGGUCUGUCGCAUGAUGGGUCUGGGAAAGAUAUUGUUUCGGUGGGGGAUGGGCUCGCGGCCUAUCAGCUUGUUGGUGGGGUGAUGGCCUACCAAGGCGGUGACGGGUAGCCGGCCUGAGAGGGUGGACGGUCACACUGGGACUGAGACACGGCCCAGACUCCUACGGGAGGCAGCAGUGGGGAAUAUUGCACAAUGGGCGCAAGCCUGAUGCAGCGACGCCGCGUGAGGGAUGGAGGCCUUCGGGUUGUGAACCUCUUUCGCCAGUGAAGCAGGCCUGCCUCGUUUGUGGGUGGGUUGACGGUAGCUGGAUAAGAAGCGCCGGCUAACUACGUG
rnacentral:rRNA from 1 species